UAAAAAAUAAAGUUCAGAUCCAUAUUUGAAUUACCGGAUUUGGAUUAUCGGAUCGACGUUAUCGAAUUCGGAUCAGAUUUUUUGAAUCGGAUCUGGCCCAUUAACAAGCCUACAUGGAUUUAACUUAUAUGAAGAGGAAAGUUCAGAGCCUUAUUGACAGGCUAGAUAAGGAUGGAUUAGAUAAUAUAAAUCCCUAACUAAGACGGAUUGACAUCCGGUUCAGUUUGUUCACUUUGUGAGCACUACAAGGGAAAUGUUGUCGUUAUUAUUCGCUGAAUUUGGGUAUUAACACCUAUGCCCGAUCGUUACCUAUAGGGCUCCGAAAUUAGUUGAGGUACUCGCAAGUUGGGCCGAACAUCAGGUUAGAAGAAAAAAACGGGACACAAAAGAAAUAAAA